GUUAGCUGAAGCUGAAAUGAAAUAAAUCUCUUUCUUCACUCAGAAUAACUGUAUGUCCAGUUAUUAAAAAAAUAAUAAUUUCCUGGAUUGAGGUAAAUUAAAUUGUUUACAACCCACCACACUAUAAACUAUGAUAUGUUCUGUAUUGGGAAUGGGACAAGAAUAUCCCUUCCUAUUCAUUGGACCAGACUUCUAGAUAAUUUUGUGACUGUCUGGUAGUCCAAAACUAAUGAUUAAAAGCAAAUGAAGACAUCAAAGGUACUCAAUCAAAAGGUUGAAGACUCAAUACACUAUUUAGGAGGAUGAAGUAAAUAUUUUAGUUUAUUCUCCUAUUUUAGCUGCAGGCAAAAUGAAUGCAUCAUGGAAUUAUCACCAAUUUAUCAUUACACACAUUGGUUGGGUUAUUUACUUCAAUAGCUAUAUAUUCUAAAAUAUAUAUUGAACAAUGGGCUGUGAAGUGUACAACGUUAAAUGCAUCUCAGUGUAGAUUAUGAUCUUAUCUGAAGUAUAUAAGUAGAAUGAAUUUUGGGAUACUUUUUGGGGUAGUCCUUUGCUGCUACUUGAGGACAACUAAGUAUUAUUAUCACUAUAUAGACAAAACUCAAUUAACUCUGAUGUAAGGAAUGCAUUUGGCAGAACAUAAAUGCUUCAGUCAUUUUUACCUCUUAUUUUGCAAUUAAUCACAGCUUCGUGAUAUCUCCUUUAUUGUACUUUCUUUUAUUUACUUUAUUGUGCUUCCCAGGCAUAUUUCUAAGCUCAUUAAAAGCAGAGGCUAAUCUAGUUGAGUUCCUUACAAAAGACAGGGGCUGUCUGGUAAUUCAUUUUGUCAUUUAUUAACUUAUCAAAGUGAUAUUGUUAUGCACUCAGUUAAUGCUACUGAAAAAGAUGAAAAAGCAUGGUUCUUGUCUACCAGGCAUACUUCUUUCAAUAUCUUAUCAACUCUUUCCUUGAAUCUGAUGGGAAUUCCAGGAGCUUCAUUUGCUCAGAGCAUAAUGCAGGAACCCUGCGACUGACUCUCCCCAGGACCUGUGUAAGUUGGAAAGCCUUUGGUAGCAAAGUGGAGGACGUGUGGUUGGCUUUUAAUCUAUUUCCCCGACUUGGCAAAUGUUUUCCUUCACACCCAUGCUUGCUGGACCGGCUUCAUCUCCAUAGUUAAGGUGAGACGGGGGAAAGGUGAAUUGUGGGUAAUGGAACAGUCUUACUUGAAGGGCAGUACCACAACUUGGCCUUGGUAUUGUCUAGUCUGAAUGGCGAAGUAUCUAUGUGAAGAGUCUCUCCAUGUUGUUCUGGUUUCUGUUUUUCCUUCUCCUUUAAAUCUCCUGAAUUCCUUUCAGGUGGAGAAGAUGGGCGGUCUGACUCACCGCAACCUAGCAGAUAAAGAGGAUACAACGCAGAGCCCAGGUGGUCAAAAGAGUAAAAUGACCUUGCUCAAUUCUCUUUUCAGGCAGCGACCUACUUGCUCCAAUAACUCUAAAUCUAAGGUUCCUCGAUCCUAAGGAAACCAAUGGCAUUCCUCCCGAAUUAAGAGUAUAAGCUUGUGUAGAGCUCCAGGCUCUACAGUGCGCUGGAUGGCCUUAAGAAGCUGCUGCACUGUUUUAAAAAAUGCUUUCUGCUCUUUGGUCAUUUCUUGACCCAUGAUAACCUAACCCCUGAUAUUUUACGUUUGCCUACUGUCCUCCUGAUGGGAGUCGGGACUGUCUCUUACCGGGAUUCCCUCGAAAAUUGAUGAGCUCUCCUCCUUUACGUGGAAAUUCAAGGCUGUCACGUCGGGGGCACCAGUUACAGAGCUUAUAGCUUGCAGUGAACGCCAAGAAUGAAGUACUCAGACAAUUCCAGCCGAGCGGUGCCACGG
rnacentral:lncRNA from 13 species